AACAUUCAACGCUGUCGGUGAGUUUGUGUCCAAGGGAAACCACUGGCCGUUGAGUGUACC
rnacentral:pre_miRNA from 1 species